rnacentral:rRNA from 1 species
CGCUGGCGGCAGGCCUAACACAUGCAAGUCGAGCGGUAGCACAGAGAGCUUGCUCUCGGGUGACGAGCGGCGGACGGGUGAGUAAUGUCUGGGAAACUGCCUGAUGGAGGGGGAUAACUACUGGAAACGGUAGCUAAUACCGCAUAAUGUCGCAAGACCAAAGUGGGGGACCUUCGGGCCUCAUGCCAUCAGAUGUGCCCAGAUGGGAUUAGCUAGUAGGUGGGGUAACGGCUCACCUAGGCGACGAUCCCUAGCUGGUCUGAGAGGAUGACCAGCCACACUGGAACUGAGACACGGUCCAGACUCCUACGGGAGGCAGCAGUGGGGAAUAUUGCACAAUGGGCGCAAGCCUGAUGCAGCCAUGCCGCGUGUGUGAAGAAGGCCUUCGGGUUGUAAAGCACUUUCAGCGGGGAGGAAGGCGGUGAGGUUAAUAACCUCAUCGAUUGACGUUACCCGCAGAAGAAGCACCGGCUAACUCCGUGCCAGCAGCCGCGGUAAUACGGAGGGUGCAAGCGUUAAUCGGAAUUACUGGGCGUAAAGCGCACGCAGGCGGUCUGUCAAGUCGGAUGUGAAAUCCCCGGGCUCAACCUGGGAACUGCAUUCGAAACUGGCAGGCUAGAGUCUUGUAGAGGGGGGUAGAAUUCCAGGUGUAGCGGUGAAAUGCGUAGAGAUCUGGAGGAAUACCGGUGGCGAAGGCGGCCCCCUGGACAAAGACUGACGCUCAGGUGCGAAAGCGUGGGGAGCAAACAGGAUUAGAUACCCUGGUAGUCCACGCCGUAAACGAUGUCGAUUUGGAGGUUGUGCCCUUGAGGCGUGGCUUCCGGAGCUAACGCGUUAAAUCGACCGCCUGGGGAGUACGGCCGCAAGGUUAAAACUCAAAUGAAUUGACGGGGGCCCGCACAAGCGGUGGAGCAUGUGGUUUAAUUCGAUGCAACGCGAAGAACCUUACCUGGUCUUGACAUCCACAGAACUUAGCAGAGAUGCUUUGGUGCCUUCGGGAACUGUGAGACAGGUGCUGCAUGGCUGUCGUCAGCUCGUGUUGUGAAAUGUUGGGUUAAGUCCCGCAACGAGCGCAACCCUUAUCCUUUGUUGCCAGCGGUCCGGCCGGGAACUCAAAGGAGACUGCCAGUGAUAAACUGGAGGAAGGUGGGGAUGACGUCAAGUCAUCAUGGCCCUUACGACCAGGGCUACACACGUGCUACAAUGGCAUAUACAAAGAGAAGCGACCUCGCGAGAGCAAGCGGACCUCAUAAAGUAUGUCGUAGUCCGGAUUGGAGUCUGCAACUCGACUGCGUGAAGUCGGAAUCGCUAGUAAUCGCGGAUCAGCAUGUCGCGGUGAAUACGUUCCCGGGUCUUGUACACACCGCCCGUCAC